rnacentral:tRNA from 1 species
GCGCCUGUAGCUCAGCGGAUAGAGCAGUGGUUUCCUAAACCAUGUGUCGGAGGUUCGAUUCCUCUCAGGCGCA